rnacentral:rRNA from 1 species
CGAAGGUCCCAAGCGUUAUCCGGAUUUAUUGGGUUUAAAGGGUGCGUAGGCGGGUUAUUAAGUCAGUGGUGAAAGCCUUCAGCUUAACUGAAGAAUUGCCAUUGAUACUGAUGAUCUUGAGUAUGAUUGAGGUGGGCGGAAUGUGUCAUGUAGCGGUGAAAUGCUUAGAUAUGACACAGAACACCGAUUGCGAAGGCAGCUCACUAAGUCAUAACUGACGCUGAUGCACGAAAGCGUGGGGAGCAAACAGGAUUAGAUACCCUGGUAGUCCACGCCCUAAACGAUGAUCACUCGAUGUGUGCGAUACACUGUACGCGUCUGAGCGAAAGCAUUAAGUGAUCCACCGUGGGGAGUACGACCGCAAGGUUG